rnacentral:rRNA from 1 species
AAUGAACGUUGGCGGCGUGGAUUAGGCAUGCGAGUCGAGCGAGAACCGUAGCAAUACGGGGACAGCGGCGAAAGGGACAGUAACGGGUAGAUUAUCUGCCCUCAGGUUUGGGAUAGCUGCGGGAAACUGCAAGUAAGACCAAAUAAUAUCUCCGGAUCAAAGGUGUGAUUCCGCCUGAGGAUGAGUUGGCCUCCUAUUAGCUUGUUGGUGGGGUAACGGCCUACCAAGGCAUUGAUGGGUAGCGGGUGUGAGAGCACGACCCGCGUCAUUGGGACUGAGACACUGCCCAGACACCUACGGGUGGCUGCAGUCGAGAAUCUUCGGCAAUGGACGCAAGUCUGACCGAGCGGCGCCGCGUGUGGGAUGAAGGCCUUCGGGUUGUAAACCACUGUCAGAGGGGAUGAAAUGCAGGUGGGUACUCCCAUUUGUUUGACAUAGCCUCAGAGGAAGUACGGGCUAAGUUCGUGCCAGCAGCCGCCGUAA